GUCACUUUGGCGGAGUGGUUAACGCGCAGCCCUGCUAUGCUGCAUCUCAAGGCUGUGACUUCGGUCGCGUAGGUUCGAAUCCUGCAGGUGACG
rnacentral:tRNA from 1 species